rnacentral:rRNA from 1 species
GAUCAUGGCUCAGGACGAACGCUGGCGGCGUGCUUAACACAUGCAAGUCGAACGGGAUGAUCUUAAAGCUUGCUUUUAGAGAAUCUAGUGGCAAACGGGUGAGUAACACGUAGACAACCUGCCGACAGGAUGGGGACAACAUUCCGAAAGGAAUGCUAAUACCGAAUGAAGUCAGAGGAGGGCAUCCUCCUCUGAUGAAAGAUGGCCUCUGAAUAUGCUAUC